rnacentral:tRNA from 1 species
GUUUAAAUAGCUUAAAUUUUUAAAGCAUAUUAUUGAAGAUGAUAAAAUGAUUUUUUGAUCUUUAAACA